rnacentral:lncRNA from 1 species
UGCAAAUCUUUGGGAGAGAAGAGAAAUAAUUCUCCUAAAUCAGGAGGCAGAUCAAUAACACACGUUGCUCUGCAGAAGGCCGUGUUUAUUUUGCCUGCCAGCAGUGAAACUCAAUAGACCCCCAGCAGUCGAAGAAGAAAUGAGACCUCUGUGGUUUUGCAUUUUCAUUAGGCCUUCAAAGCAAGACAUAAAAAGACAAAUCUCCUGGUGGGAAGUCAGCAAUCCCUGCAGAACUGCCUCCAGACUGCGCGCUUCGCUCUGAUGUUGAGAUGGGUACGGCACUCCAAGCUUAAAGGCUGUGCAGAUAUAUCUGGGAACUUUGGCAAUGGAAGCAGUGAAACCCUCACAUCCCCGGAGGUUGGUUUAAAUAGAAGGGUGAAGACUUUUGCUUAUAAUUUCUUCAUUAAAACCACGCAGGCUGCAUUUGUCCUGCAGCACAGCCAUACCUUGCAGGAUGUGAGUUUGCUCCGCUCAAACUUUUUCGCAGCUCAAAAUUCCACGUCAAGGAGACUGUAAAGCUCUUCACCUGCUGUGUCAGAUGGCACUGACACUGUCAGUGCUCCGGAGUUUCUGCAUGUUGGUUUUGCUCUUCACCUUCCUCCCCACUGGGCUCAGCAGGAAAAUGGCCUCAGGGCAAAAAGCCAAGAGUCAAAGGAGAGAAAUUCAAAAGAGAAACGAAGGAAACUGGAAUCAGAGGAAAAAAAUCCAGAGGAAAAAGUGCAUCCCCAGCAGCCUGGCCGUGCUAAUUGCUGUUGGAGCUCCCUGGCAGGUGGAGGAAAAGCAAAUGUUUUGGCCAGCAUGGGCUGGGUGCCGAGGAGCCUGCUGGGUGCUGCUGGGACUGAGCAGCCGUGUUCAGCCCGGCCUGCUUUUAGCAUCACUACAUUUCCAACAUGCUCUCCUAAUCCGGGAUCAAAGCAUGCAGUCAGCAGAAGGCAUUUGGAGGGAGAACAGUGCUGUUUUCCAUCCGUUCCCCUCUGCCAAGAAAGCUGUUCUUGCUGAGGAGCUCCCAGCACGGGUUAUGGGAUCACACCGGCUUCUGGGAGUUGAUCUCUGCCCUCCUGCAAGGAGCAGAACACAGGGAGAGCCCCGUGAGCAUCCCCUGUGCUGCACAGAACGGCAGCGUCAGGCACAGAACCGCAGAGCAGAGCAGGCACUGCUCACAGCGCUGUGCAAACACUGAGCGACAACAUUUUGGAAGAGGAGCCUCCCCGCGAGAUGGGAGGCAGUGCAGAAUUAGGGGUUUUCAAUCACAGCGGCUCCACGAGAAAAGAAAUGCAGCUGCUGCUCUGAAAUCGGUCUGAAUCCUGCAGACAGCCACUGCCGUGCGGGACAAAGUGCUGCCAGGUGGGAGAAAUCCCCGUCAGCAUUCGCUGCAGGGAAGGUGGAUGGAGUAAUGAGAGCGAGCAGAGGCGUGGGAUGGAUGUUUCACUCCAGAGCUCCAAUCCAUUUAUAUAAUCAUAGUUGUUAUCGCAGUAAAUGUAAAUAACUGAUUGAGUUCAAAUGUAGUGUUUGACAACGCUGAUUCUUUGUGAGUACACACUGAAUUCUUGGAGAAUUACUUUAUUUCAUCAGACAGACCCGCAAUGUGUUCAACAGCCCUUUAGGCAUUUAGGUUGGGCCGUACUCUGUGAUUUUUCUUGCUCUCCAAAGCAUAAAGCCUCUUACAAGUUCAUGUUUUAAUCAAUUGCUUGAAUCAAAGUAUGUGGCAGUUUGGCAGCUUGCCCUUUGCUGCAUUGCUAUAGCUGCAAUAAUAGCAAUAAUGAUAUCAUGAAAAUACAAAAAGGCUGCUUUGCACCUUGUCAGCCCACGGCAAUGAAUAACCAGGAUGACCUUAAUUUGUUUUCUAUCAGAUGUGUUGGCCCACAACCUUCAGUAGCAUCCAAGAUAGGCAUCGGAGCUGCAGCCCACCUCCCCACGCUAAGCAGCAGCCUCCCUAAUUAGCCUGUGUGCAUCACAGCAGCUGCUGCUCUGGUCAGGGUCACGCGAGGGCUUCACCCCGUGCAGUUUCUGCUCUGUGCAGGAUGGAUGCUGCGCCCUGCAGCCAGGACAGAGCAGGACAGACCCCGCUGUGGUGGUCCCAGGGCUCUUUGCAGGGGGCUGUGGUGGCCAAACUGAAGUGAGAUCGGCACUGUGGGGACGGAGGGGGGUUUCAAAGGCCUGGAGACAGCUGCAUUCAGAAAUAGAUCAGAGCAGCACUUCCAUCCAAAAGGGAAAAAUAGUAAAGAGUGGCUUCAAAAUAGCGCUGUCCGUGACAUCCCACUUGUGCACGCUUUUAAUGAGGCUGGUGCUGGUCUUAACAGGAGGAUGGCCUCAAUUCCAUUAUAGCUUUGUGCUAUUGAUACAAUGCUUCUCAUAAUGAGGGCGUUAUUAUCUUUGUUGGGAAAUGCAGAAUGCAGCAGAUGCACGGUGUUAAAUAAUGACAAAGAGACUCAGCAGGAGCCAGGAGCAUGGAUGGUGCCCUGCUGGGGACGAGGGGGCCCUCGGAUGGACACUGCGAGGAUGUGCUCUGUGCUCGUCCCUGCAGAGCAGGGCAUGGAGAUGUCUGAGCUGCUGGGUGCUUCGAUUCCUCUGCUGGGAGAGGGCUCCUGGGCUCCUGCUUUGGUCGGUGCCACGGGGCUCUCUUCCCUCAGUCUGCCCUCGGGGCCAAUCGCUCACAUCCAUGCCUUCAGUCACUUCUGUAGGUUUCAGCAGUGUGCACCUUUGGCAAGGUCUGGCCUGAGCCCAGCUGAGCCUCUGUACCACCACUGCCACAGCUGCCUCCCCCCGCCCUACUGUGAGUCACUUCCAAAGACACUUUUAGUUCAUUAAUGCUGAGAUGCAUUAAAAUGAACCUCAGUAAAAUGGCAAUGCUGAUAAAAGCAGCCCCCAUCCUCCACCCACUCCAUGCCCCAGUUGCUCAGGUUCGUUUCUGUCUUUGAAUCAGACAGAGGGAAGCUCCAAUUUUCUGCAAAAUCACGUCUGGGUCCCAAAGGGAGCCUGGAGCAGACACACAGUUGUUGUGCUCCUGCAGGGACACUGAGGGCUGCAACUGGAAGCAACAGAUUGCUCUGGGGGCAGUGGCUUUGGGGGUACAUUGGCAUGUAGUGUGCAGUCCUACACAGCCCCAAGGAGUGUAUUUGUGCUGGUGAUGGCCCAACUUCGGGAUGCAUUGUAUGGAACAAGACCAAUCAGUAACUCAAUGACAUAAGGUUUUUAGCACCAAUGAGCUGGAGAUGGUGAUCAUGGGAUGUUAUUCCAAGAGGAAAAGUCAAAUGGAAAUGGAGGAUAAGUAUGCAAGAACUAAAGCAAAGCAACUUGUUGGGGAGACCAAAGCCACCACUGGGAUAAAUCCUUAUAGAACAGAGCUGAAGAGCCAGAUGAUGACGUGCUCUUUCCGAGUGAAUUUUCUCAGGGGCAACGAGGCACAGCUGAUGAGCAGGGCAGCAUAAAUCAGCAAAGCCUCCAAUACAGCCCAGCUGCACUGAUGUGACCAGAAAGCUCCAUCAAGCUAUUAAAUCAUUUGCACAAGACAAGCAGUCAAGCCCUUCUUUACCACUAGCAACCAACAUUCUGGUAAAACUCAUCUUUAUUUUGCUGUUGUCCUCAGCAUCACAUCGGUGGCCACUUAACAAUAAGUGCCUACAGGCCCUGAAAGCAAGAAGGCAAAAUCAGCAGGAGCACAGCUGGCAGGAGCUGAGCAUUUCUGUGGGGCCUCAGACAUAGGGAGUGUGGGCUGUGGGGCUCUGCCUGCAGACUGUGAUAAUGGGAACAGGGACUGUGGGAGUUCCUGCUGACUUUCACCUGCAUCAUCAGCUCUGUGUAAAUCUGUUAGUUGUGGUGGUGGUGAUCUGAGAGUGUAGGCAAAUUAAGGUUUGUGGCAAAGAACAAAACUUUUAGCAAAACGCACAGCUAUUUUUUUUAUUAGAGCAUCCAAUACAGGUAGGACAUGGACAAGCUUUAGGGCAAAGAGGCCCCACAGGACUUCCCUGGGUGUGAAACAGAAACAAAAAGCUUCAAGGAAGAUUCAGGCUGGAAAAACAUUCAGCUUCAGUUUAACAUAAUUAUGACAACAAAUUAGAGAGUUAGGAGGCAAAUCUGCCAGUAAGCACCUGUGAAAUCAGCCUUCAUAACCCUUGUGUAUCAGUUCAAAUCUGGGAUAUUGGAAUCCUGUUACAGCCAUCACCUGAUUUCCCAGUGUUUAAAAUGCAUCUACUGUUUUGCAAGGGACACACAAGUAGGAACUGUCACCUGGCAGAUGUGGGUUGCCCAUGCUGUGAUCUGCCUGUGGGGCUUUGCACAGUCUGUUGUUUGUAUGGGGCAGCGCCCAGCCCGGCUACUUCUGUUCCAAGAACAGCAUCUCUGUGUAUGUCCCUCUUCUGAAGCAAGCACAAUCAGAGAUGUAUUUCAAAAGGAAUGUUAAAAAUAAAUAAUCUGCAAUUCAGACCGGA